GAGAACACUUUAGAUGAAUGCCCGGGCAGACACGGUAGCAGCGACUGUACACACGAAGAAGAUGCCGGUGUUGAUUGCAUCAAACCAUCGCCUCAAGCUAAAUUGCCCACGUGUCGUCCAAAUCAGUUUCUGUGCCAGCACUUCAACAUGUGUAUUCCUGCACGCUGGUCAUGUGACGGCGAUAAUGAUUGCGGAAAUAACGCCGAUGAAGCAGACGAUCUUU